GUGCAACCUCACGCAAUUCACCAAAGCAAGCCCCUCCUUGUCUAUACAGUGAGCCUGCUAGACUCACCGGUGUCCCUGAGCCUUUGGGGCUUGGCUGCGAUCCUAUGGUUUUCCUAAUCCCUGUGCGAGGUGCCCUGACAAGUAGAGGGGGUGAGGGAGGAGCUGAGUUGGCAGGAUUCUCCAGGGCCCAGAGGCAGCUGCCUUUGCCUGGGCAGGGCCUCCCGAGGCUAUCAAUGCCUCCCUCCUCUGUGGCUGCCAACCUAGUAUCCCAGGCAGAUCUCCCGGGGCUGCUGGGGCUAUCUAUUCAUAUUGCAAUUUGAAUGCUUCUGGUCAGAAUGACUAAAAGGCUGAAUUUUACAAGGGUUUUGAAAGUGAAUUGACUCCACUUAUUAAAGAUAUACUAGAUUACACGCCGAGUGAAAGGACACUCUGGGGACUCCAGGCAUCGCAGCCUUUCACAAAGACGGAAACAUCCCUUUUCGAGCCAUUCCUGGUAAACCACAGUGGGAGACGUUGCACCAAGCAGAUGCCGAUUAAAUUACCGGCUGAAGGACACAGUCCAUCAGAGAAACAUCUUGGCCCAGAAGGGCCACUGGUGAAUGAAGACGCAGUUCCAGAAAUCCCUUCUGGUUGUUUUAUGUAAAUCAGUUUCUAAAGGCAGGAAGGCAAAGGCAAAAAGGUUCAGAGCACCUGGGGAGGGAGUCUCAGCUGGUGGGGGCUUCCUCUGUGCAGAUGAGGAAGCAGAAUAGCUGGAAGGACUUCCUGGACUUGGAACCUGGCGGCGGAGGAAGGCCCUCCCGAAUCCACGGGAUCCAACCCCGGCACCUCACUGUACUGAUGGGGAAGCUCAGCACUGGGUAAUGGGGGUGGGGGGCAGUCAAAAACAGGGCAUUUGGUGGCACAACUGGGACUGAAAGACAGUCCAGGCUCUUAACUCAAGGCUCUCUCCUCCCACUCUCCCAUGGAGAUGUAGGCGGCUGUCCCUGGCUUGUGUCGGUAAGUCUUUCCUCUCUCUCUGUGUCGCCCUGAGAAGCAUUCCCUUCCACGCAUCGCUGUCAAGAGAAGCAGCAGCAUGUAGCAGGUACACAGAUCGCAGUUGCUUGCAGAUGUCAUAGAAGGUCCAGGCAAUGUGUAUGCAACACCGGUUGCUUCCCUUUCUAAGUAACAGACACAGAUUCAGUCUCUCUGAAGCAGAAAGGGAGUUUAUUGGCAGGCUAUCGGGAUCUCAGAGAAUCAGAGGAGCCUGCAGGGAUAGGCUUGAAAAGCAGAUGGGGCUGGACACAGUGGCUCAUGCCUGUAAUCCCA
rnacentral:lncRNA from 10 species